GAUGAACGCUGGCGGCGUGCCUAAUACAUGCAAGUCGAGCGAACAGAUAAGGAGCUUGCUCCUUUGACGUUAGCGGCGGACGGGUGAGUAACACGUGGGUAACCUACCUAUAAGACUGGGAUAACUUCGGGAAACCGGAGCUAAUACCGGAUAAUAUUUCGAACCGCAUGGUUCGAUAGUGAAAGAUGGUUUUGCUAUCACUUAUAGAUGGACCCGCGCCGUAUUAGCUAGUUGGUAAGGUAACGGCUUACCAAGGCGACGAUACGUAGCCGACCUGAGAGGGUGAUCGGCCACACUGGAACUGAGACACGGUCCAGACUCCUACGGGAGGCAGCAGUAGGGAAUCUUCCGCAAUGGGCGAAAGCCUGACGGAGCAACGCCGCGUGAGUGAUGAAGGUCUUCGGAUCGUAAAACUCUGUUAUUAGGGAAGAACAUACGUGUGAGUAACUGUGCACGUCUUGACGGUACCUAAUCAGAAAGCCACGGCUAACUACGUG
rnacentral:rRNA from 1 species